rnacentral:lncRNA from 1 species
AGAGAUAAAUAUUACAUACUUCAAAAAAUAUAAAAAGUAUGACUUGAUAAAAAAAAGAAAAAUUGAACUCAUAAUCAACAGACAGAAACCUAUGCUAACCAAACACUAUUCUGAUUUCUGACUACUUCCUACUGUUGAAGGCCGCCACGAUAUUAGGUAUAGGGUUGGAGUAACUACCGUAGUUCUUGUUCACAAAGUAACUGCAUAUUUUUAUUAAAUUCAUUCAAGGGAAGAGAUACUCUGGCAGUACCACUACUAAAACCAAAUUAUAUUUUUAUAUUUAUAAAUAAAUUUGAAAGCUAAAAUUACAUUUGGAUAUAUAAUAAAUUUUUUUAAAAAAUACAUUCUAAUAAUAUUGUAGCGGUGUAAAAUAUGUAGCCCCAUUUUCCUUGAUAAACUCUGGUCAAGGUAUGGAAAUGACCUAGUCACAUGCACCCUUAUUAGAGUCUAACCCGAAUCAAAGCACUGAUGAAAUAGAGAAGACUCAAAUCAAAGUACUGAUGAAAAACAGAUAAAAUAUGUUAGUAUUUUAAAUGGAAUAAAUAAAUAAUUUGUAAAACUAAACUAUACGUUCAAAAUAUUUCAGUCUACUAAUUGAAACUAUGCGGG